UCAGGACUCAAUAAAAUAAACAGCUGGAAAUAAGCAGACUACUGUAAGAGUGAAUUGAAAAGAAAACCCAAGGUCACAUCUCCCAAGAAGCAGUAAUGUUCCAGCAAUAAGAAAAGGACAGUUUUUUGUCUUUUGCAUGGUGAGCCUUAUAUGAAUUACAUCAAUUUUGUCACCAAUAUCCAUCAUCAGAACAUUUUGAUUCUACAUAACACAUUAUAAAAUGGUUACAACAAUCAAGACUAUAUCCAUAGAUGUCCCAGAAAUAAUAUCUGACUAUACAGAGCAGCAUUACCAAGCCACCAAGAAGUCUGCCUAGUAAUGACAAUGAUAACAACAGCUAACACUUAGUAAAUGCUUGUGAUGCAUCUGGCAUUCUUCCAGUCAACAGAGCAGAGGAACAGAGCCACAGAUAACUGAAAACCACUUUGGCACUGAGGAGGUAUGCAGACAAGAUCUGGAAGGGAAUCUAGAAAAAUGACAACUUUGGAAUAAUAGAUACCUUUUGUUUUCUUAUUGCUUUUAUUUUUGUGAUAAAUAUUAAGAGUAAAAAGAAAAUUCACAUUGUUUGUUCUGUGGUACUCAGUCAACUUAGGUUUUACUCAAUAGCAUGUUGUUAAUUAAUCUUCCAAAUUGUUGGGGUAUUUCAUAUGAAUUAGCCCCUACCCCCACCGUGUCCUUUCCCCAGACUCCAUUCCUAGAUAAUCACUUCUGUCAAUUCCUAGAUAAUCACUUGCCUUACUUGACAGAUUCAGAGGAAGCCAUCAGUUUUUUGGGCAGAAUGAAGGGACAAAUGGUGAACUGGUAUCCGGGAUGCUGCCUAGAACCCUGUCCAUUUAAGAAGACACCCAUGUGAUACGCAAUGCACAAAAAGCACUGGAACUCCCAGCAGGCAAGCACUGCAGUCUAUAAACCCUCUAUUGAGAAAGGCCAUUGCAUGUCUACCAGGGACACAGAUUUGGGAGGCAGAACACACGACAGGGUGAGGGUGAAAGGCAAUGGCUACCUGGCCACGUCAGCCAAACCAGCUCCAAAAAUCAAUGCGAUGACAGUGGCCACAGGCAGAUCACUCUCACCUUAUAACCUGGGAUGGCACAGACCAGACAGAUUAUUUCAUUUUGUUUUGUUUUUCAUUAUUUUUAUUUACUUUUUUGGAGAGAGGGUCUCACUCCAUUGCCCAGGCUGGAGUCCAGUGGUAUGAUCAUAGCUCACUGUAACCUUGAACUCCUGGACUCAAGUGAUAAACCUGCAUCUGUCUUCCCUGAGUAGCUGAGACUACAGGUACACACCACUAUACCCGGCCUCUCAUUUUGCUUAAUUUAUUUAAUUAGUCAACUAAUUUUGAGGGAGGGCAGAUUUUGGAGGUAAAGGGCAUAGACGGUUCUGUAGUGUGCGGAAAUCUGAAGCUUUGCUAAGAUGGGAUCAACAUGAAGCAUCUGUACAUGUAUAAUUAGCAAAUGUUACCUUGACUAACAGUAAAAUGAAGAAUUAAGGAAAUUAUGAGGUUAAUUUCCUUGAAGUCUCUCAGU